GGCCUAACACAUGCAAGUCGAGCGGAAAGGCCACUUCGGUGGUACUCGAGCGGCGAACGGGUGAGUAACACGUGAGUAAUCUGCCCCUGGCUUUGGGAUAGCCACCGGAAACGGUGAUUAAUACCGGAUAUGACAUGGACUCGCAUGGGUUUGUGUGGAAAGUUUUUCGGCCAGGGAUGUGCCCGCGGCCUAUCAGCUUGAUGGUGAGGUAAUGGCUCACCAUGGCUUCGACGGGUAGCCGGCCUGAGAGGGUGACCGGUCACACUGGGACUGAGACACGGCCCAGACUCCUACGGGAGGCAGCAGUGGGGAAUAUUGGACAAUGGGCGGAAGCCUGAUCCAGCAACGCCGCGUGAGGGAUGACGGCCUUCGGGUUGUAAACCUCUUUCAGUACCGACGAAGCGAAAGUGACGGUAGGUACAGAAGAAGCACCGGCCCAACUACGUGCCAGCAGCCGCGGUAAUACGUAGGGUGCGAGCGUUGUCCGGAAUUAUUGGGCGUAAAGGGCUCGUAGGCGGUUUGUCGCGUCGGGAGUGAAAACGCCGUGCUUAACACGGCGCUUGCUUUCGAUACGGGCAGACUAGAGGUAUGCAGGGGAGAACGGAAUUCCUGGUGUAGCGGUGAAAUGCGCAGAUAUCAGGAGGAACACCGGUGGCGAAGGCGGUUCUCUGGGCAUUACCUGACGCUGAGGAGCGAAAGUGUGGGGAGCGAACAGGAUUAGAUACCCUGGUAGUCCACACCGUAAACGUUGGGCGCUAGGUGUGGGGUCCAUUCCACGGAUUCCGUGCCGCAGCUAACGCAUUAAGCGCCCCGCCUGGGGAGUACGGCCGCAAGGCUAAAACUCAAAGGAAUUGACGGGGGCCCGCACAAGCGGCGGAGCAUGCGGAUUAAUUCGAUGCAACGCGAAGAACCUUACCUGGGUUUGACAUACACCCUGCCGCCUCAGAGGUGGGGCUUCUUUUGGGGGUGUACAGGUGGUGCAUGGCUGUCGUCAGCUCGUGUCGCGAGAUGUUGGGUUAAGUCCCGCAACGAGCGCAACCCUCGUUCUAUGUUGCCAGCACGUAAUGGUGGGGACUCAUAGGAGACUGCCGGGGUCAACUCGGAGGAAGGUGGGGAUGACGUCAAGUCAUCAUGCCCCUUAUGUCCAGGGCUUCACGCAUGCUACAAUGGCCGGUACAAAGGGCUGCGAUCCCGUAAGGGGGAGCGAAUCCCAAAAAGCCGGUCUCAGUUCGGAUUGGGGUCUGCAACUCGACCCCAUGAAGUCGGAGUCGCUAGUAAUCGCAGAUCAGCAACGCUGCGGUGAAUACGUUCCCGGGCCUUGUAC
rnacentral:rRNA from 1 species